AGUGAACGCUGGCGGUAGGCCUAACACAUGCAAGUCGAACGGCAGCACAGGAGAGCUUGCUCUCUGGGUGGCGAGUGGCGGACGGGUGAGGAAUACAUCGGAAUCUGCCCAGUCGUGGGGGAUAACGUAGGGAAACUUACGCUAAUACCGCAUACGACCUUCGGGUGAAAGAGGGGGAUCGCAAGACCUCUCGCGAUUGGAUGAGCCGAUGUCGGAUUAGCUAGUUGGCGGGGUAAUGGCCCACCAAGGCGACGAUCCGUAGCUGGUCUGAGAGGAUGAUCAGCCACACUGGAACUGAGACACGGUCCAGACUCCUACGGGAGGCAGCAGUGGGGAAUAUUGGACAAUGGGCGCAAGCCUGAUCCAGCCAUACCGCGUGGGUGAAGAAGGCCUUCGGGUUGUAAAGCCCUUUUGUUGGGAAAGAAAUCCUUCAGGCUAAUACCCUGGGAGGAUGACGGUACCCAAAGAAUAAGCACCGGCUAACUUCGUG
rnacentral:rRNA from 1 species